rnacentral:rRNA from 1 species
GACGAACGCUGGCGGCGUGCUUAACACAUGCAAGUCGAACGGUGAAGCGCUUUCCUUUUUGGUUGGUGUGGAUGAGUGGCGAACGGGUGAGUAACACGUGAGUAACCUGCCCCCUUCUUCUGGAUAACCGCAUGAAAGUGUGGCUAAUACGGGAUAUUCUGCGCCUGCUGCAUGGUGGGUGUGGGAAAGAUUGUGCCUUUGGGUGUGUUCGGUGGGGGAUGGGCUCGCGGCCUAUCAGCUUGUGGGUGGGGUGAUGGCCUACCAAGGCGGUGACGGGUAGCCGGCCUGAGAGGGUGGACGGUCACACUGGGACUGAGACACGGCCCAGACUCCUACGGGAGGCAGCAGUGGGGAAUACUGCACAAGGGGCGCAAGCCUGAUGCAGCGACGCCGCGUGAGGGAUGGAGGCCUUCGGGUUGUGAACCUCUUUCGCCAGUGAAGCAGGCCUGCUCCGUGUGGGUGGGUUGACGGUAGCUGGAUAAGAAGCGCCGGCUAACUACGUG